rnacentral:rRNA from 1 species
AGUGAACGCUGCGGCGUGCCUAAUACAUGCAAGUCGAACGGAAUUUAAAAGAGCUUGCUCUUUUGAAUUUAGUGGCGCACGGGUGAGUAAUAUAUAGCUAAUCUGCCCCUUGCUGGAGGACAACAGUUAGAAAUGACUGCUAAUACUCCAUACUCCUUUUUACCAUAAGAUAAAUCGGGAAAGAAUUUCGGCAAGGGAUGAGACUGUAUCGUAUCAGCUAGUCGGUGGGGUAACGGCCUACCGAGGCUAUGACGCGUAACUGGUCUGAGAGGAUGAUCAGUCACAUUGGAACUGAGACACGGUCCAAACUCCUACGGGAGGCAGCAGUAGGGAAUAUUGCGCAAUGGGGGAAACCCUGACGCAGCAACGCCGCGUGGAGGAUGACACUUUUCGGAGCGUAAACUCCUUUUGUUAGGGAAGAAUAAUGACGGUACCUAACGAAUAAGCACCGGCUAA